UAGGGAUGGUUUAAGAUCUAGGUCUUGGUUAGGAUUUUUUAAAGAUUUGAUUUAGGAUUUGUCUAGGAUUUGAUUAGAAUUUAGGAUUUUAUUAGGGUUUGAUCUAAGAUUAGGAUUUGAUUAAAAAUUGAUUAAAAUUUAGAAUUUUAUUAGGAUUUGGUCUAGGAUUAGGAUUUAAAAUUUGUUUAGAAUUUAAUUAGGAUUUGUUUAAAAUUUAAUGAAAAUUUGAUUAGGAUUUGUUUAAAUUUAAUUAAAAUCUGAUUAGUAUUUUUUUAGAAUUUGAAUAAGAUUUGAUUGGUAUUUGUGUAGAAUUUGAUUAGGAUUUGAUUAAUAUUUGUUUAGAAUUUGAUUAGGAUUUGAUAUAGGAUUAAAUUUUAAGAUUUGAUUAGGAUUGAUUUAGAAUUUUAUUAGAAUUUUUUUAAAAUUAUAUUAAAAUUUGAUUAAGGUUUAAAAAGACUUUUAUUAAUAUUUUAUUAAGAUUAAUUAAUGAUUUUUUUAUGUUUCUUUUAUAAGUUAUUGAGACUUCUUUUAGAUUUAAUUAAAAAUUAAUUAGUAUUUUAGAAUUUAAUUAGAGUUUAUUUAAGAUUCUAUUAGAGUUGUUAGAAUCAUCUUAUUGCAAUUUUCAUUUUUCCUUCUAUAGCUAGGUGUCCAAUGCAUUCUCAAACAAACUUCAUUCAAUACGACAACAUCAAAACACAAUAUUUUUUUUUUUCUUGAGAUCAUCCCUUCAUGUCUUAAAUGAAUAUUUUUCUAAAUUUACGAUCAUCUUCUUCUUCUCCUUCUAGGAAGUUGUAUUUUAUAUUUUAUAUUGAUGAUUAUAGUUUUUAAUGGGCUUAAAUCUUGGUAAAUGUAUACUUUUAGAGAAGAUACAUACAAGUUCAGGCAACAUCUUUUAUUAAAAAUUAAUUGUGAAAUUAAAAUGAUGUAUUUAAGAUAAAAAUUUAAUCUUACAGCACAACAAACUUGAAGUAGAUAUGGAUGAUAGAAUUUCACCAAUCACUUGAGAUCUCUUAUGAGAAUAAUAAGUUACCAAUUCUAGAAGUGUAAACAUUCAAUAGUUGCUCAAUAAAAAAUAUUGAUCGUUAUGAUAGAUUGAUAUCAUUGACUUACAUAAAUUUAUGCAGUUGUGAGCACCUGGAAGAGGAUAAAAGAAGCUUACAAUUAGAAAAUAACACAUUAAAGAGAACACACAUAACUUCAGACAAAAAACAUAAGAAAGGCAGCACAGAACCCCAGAAAAUGAUACCCAAUUCCAUAAAAAGCAAAUUGAAUGACCCAGUUGCAGUGUUUCUAUUCCUCAAGAACUGGUCCACUUCGAUAGCCCCGGAAUGUCUAGUCUGUACUAAUAUUCAAAUGCAAUUCUACUAGUCGGUGAAGACCUGGAACAUACAAACAUGAAUGUCUGUGCAUUUCAGACCUCACAGCUUCAUAGAUUUUGCAGCCUACUCGCAUGGCACUGCACUGGUGGGCAUAUUUAUGAGUUGAAGCCAUUACCUAGAGUGCAUGUUUACUCAUUGCUGUUCCACUUCAUUGUGCGUGACUUGGGCAUAUUCAAAGAGUGUAGUUUUGCACUUGAACUAAGUUGCAGUUGGAGAGUUACACAGGAAUCGUGAACUGCAGGCGCUGCUGAUCCAUCAGUCACAAUGGACCUCAAUCCGCUUCCACCAUUUCUCCCUCUCCAACCUAGUCUAACCUUCCGACCCCUGCAGAUCGAUGUGCUCCUCUUCGAUGGGCUUCUAGAAGCGCCUCCACUGGCGCCUCAAGAUCUUGAUGCAGUUUAGCUCCACUAGACUGAUGUUGCUAUUGCAACAACACCAGAGUCAGCUCCACCCUUCCCGAGCUCUACAAACGAAGACUGGAAACUUGAUUCGCUCUCUCACUUGCUUCUGCGCAUGAAUGAAAGAAACAUAUUAGGAAAUAAAAGAAUUUCCUUGGUAUUAGGUCUUAAUUAAUAAUUUGUGCAUCUUAAGUUUUUUUUAAUCUUCAAAAAAUAAUUUUCAUUAUGUGUUUACAAUAUCCAAUGCAUCCAACACACUAAAAAUUGUUUUUUAAGUUCUCUUUCUUGAUAAUAUAAUUAUUUGAUUGUAAUUUUAUACUCUUGGGAUAUAUUUUUAAUUUAAUGCCAUUUUUAAAUUAAAAUUAAUUUAAUUGGUACAAAUUUAGAUAAAUUUUGCAAUCAAUAUGUAUAUAUACUAAAUGUUGUGUGGUCUUGUGAUCCAUCAUAUGUAUGUAUAUUUUUAUUAUAAAUAAUAUUUUAUUAUUAUUCUAAAAUAUUUUAUUUUAUAUUAAAUACAUCUACUGAAUAUAAAAACUUAAAUUUAAUUUUUAGUAUUAAACACAUAGACUUGAAUAGAUCCUCUAUAUAUAUAUAUAUAUAUAUGUUGUUAAUUUGAACUCAGUUAUAUUAUAAAAUCAAAUAUUAUGUAUAUGUAUAUGUAUAUAUACAUAUGUGUGUAUGUCUAUAAUAAUAUUAGCAAUGAUUACAUAUGUAUAUAUGUUACAAAAUUAAAUUAUUUUUCAUUCAAAAAAUAAAAUUUAAAACACAUAUUUAAAUACAAAUCAAUAUACAAAGAAGAAUACAAUCAUUCAAUAAUAAUAUGCUAUAAGUAUCCAUUUGAAUAACUUAAAGAAUACAAAACUUGCAAACUACUUAAUUUAUUUACUUUUGGACGUUAGAUUAGAUAAAUAAAUGCUGAAAUAUUUUUUCCAGAAGUAUAAAUAUGUUCCCCAAAUACACUUAAUAUAGGCUUUUUGACAUUAUCACAAAAUCAUUUCAUUGUGAAAAAUCUUAAGAGUUUUCCACCUUGGCAAAAAUAUAACAUAUAAGAGGGAAUAGAUCAAGAAAUAAAGAUUGAUUCUUUGUUAUAAGUAAUCUGUAAGAUAUUGCAUUUAUUAAAAACUUACAAAAAAUUACAUUAAAAAGUAAUACAUUAUUUACAUUAUCACCUCACUAAUAUAUAUGUAUAUAUAUAUAUAUAUAUAUAUAUAUACUUAGAUUUUUUUCAUUGCAUAUAUAAUUAAUAUUUCAAUAUUUCAAUAUUUUAUUAUUUUAUCAUCAUUAAUAUGUGAAAAAAUAUAUUUUUUAAUAUAUUAUUUGAUUAAUUCAUUGGUAUGCUUAGCAUAAAAAUACUAAUUAUUUUAACAAAGUAACAGAAUAUAUAUAACUAAUAUUUGUGUAUAUAAAAGACAUAGUCAUCUUUUUCUACAUAUUAUUUACAUACUCACAAAACUAUUAACAUGAAUAUUUAUCACAUACUUCUAGUCAAAUGUAAUGAUAACUAUUACAUCUAAUACGUAGUAUGCUUGCACAAAGAUUUAUAAUGGUACCAAACAUUUGUAAGAUGGACUCAUAUGCACAAAGAUUCUUGAUGGAAUCACAAAGAUUUAGGGUGGUGUCAUAUGUGUGUGGGAUUUUAGGACAGUAUCACAAGAAUUAAGGAGGAAAUCACAAGGAUUUUUGAUGGUGUUAUAUGCACAAAAAAAUUAUGAUGUACUAAAGCCAAAUAAAUUAAAAAAAAAAAAAAAAAAAAAAAAAAAAAAAAAUCACCACAACAUGAAGUCUUCCAAACUACAACUUCACUAAUAAAAUUCACAAGAAAUGUGAAAAUUCACCAAUGAGUAAUUAGAAUUUGUACAAUAGAUGUUAAAAAUAGGAAUAAUCUUUCAAUUGAAAAAAUAUUGGUAGCUCUU
rnacentral:lncRNA from 1 species